rnacentral:rRNA from 1 species
UACGAAGGGGGCUAGCGUUGCUCGGAAUCACUGGGCGUAAAGGGUGCGUAGGCGGGUCUUUAAGUCAGGGGUGAAAUCCUGGAGCUCAACUCCAGAACUGCCUUUGAUGCUGAAGAUCUUGAGUCCGGGAGAGGUGAGUGGAACUGCGAGUGUAGAGGUGAAAUUCGUAGAUAUUCGCAAGAACACCAGUGGCGAAGGCGGCUCACUGGCCCGGUACUGACGCUGAGGUGCGAAAGCGUGGGGAGCAAACAGG